rnacentral:rRNA from 1 species
GGAGGUCACGGCGAGACGAGCCGUUUAUCGUUUAUCAUUACGAUGAUAUAACAUAUACGAUAUACCAUAGGUGUCAAGUGGAAGUGCAGUGAUGUAUGCAGCUGAGGCAUCCUAAUAGACCGAAAGAAUUGAAC